rnacentral:rRNA from 1 species
GGAGUUAGCCGGUGCUUCUUCUGUGAGUGAUGUCCUUCCUGCCGGCUAUUAACCCGCAGGCCUUCUUCCUCACUGAAAGUGCUUUACAACCCGAAGGCCUUCUUCACACACGCGGCAUGGCUGGAUCAGGGUUGCCCCCAUUGUCCAAUAUUCCCCACUGCUGCCUCCCGUAGGAGUCUGGGCCGUGUCUCAGUCCCAGUGUGGCUGAUCAUCCUCUCAGACCAGCUACGGAUCGUCGCCUUGGUGAGCCGUUACCUAACCAACCAGCUAAUCCGACAUAGGCUCAUCCGAUAGCGCGAGGCCCGAAGGUCCCCCGCUUUCCCCCGUAGGGCGUAUGCGGUAUUAGCCUGGGUUUCCCCAGGUUAUCCCCCACUACCGGGCAGAUUCCUAUGCAUUACUCACCCGUCCGCCGCUCGCCACCAGGGAGCAAGCUCCCCGUGCUGCCGCUCGACUUGCAUGUGUUAGGCCUGCCGCCAGCGUUCAAUCUGAGCCAUGAUCAAACUCUGA